UACGGGGGGAGCAAGCGUUGUUCGGAUUUACUGGGCGUAAAGGGCGCGUAGGCGGCCUCCGCAAGUCAGUUGUGAAAUCUCCGAGCUUAACUCGGAAAGGUCAACUGAUACUGCGGGGCUAGAGUGCGGAAGGGGCAACUGGAAUUCUUGGUGUAGCAGUGAAAUGCGUAGAUAUCAAGAGGAACACCUGCGGCGAAGGCGGGUUGCUGGGCCGACACUGACGCUGAGGCGCGAAAGCUAGGGGAGCGAACGGG
rnacentral:rRNA from 1 species